rnacentral:rRNA from 1 species
GACGAACGCUGGCGGCGUGCCUAAUACAUGCAAGUCGAACGCAGUGGGGACGGGUGAGUAACACGUGGGUAACCUCCCAUCAGAGGGGAUAACACUUGGAAACAGGUGCUAAACCGAUACUGAUGGAUGGACCCGCGGGGCAUUAGCUAGUUGGUGAGGUAACGGCUCACCAAGGCCACGAUCCAUAGCCGACCUGAGAGGGUGAUCGGCCACACUGGAACUGAGACACGGCCCAGACUCCUACGGGAGGCAGCAGUAGGGAAUCUUCGGCAAUGGGCGAAAGUCUGACCGAGCAAUGCCGCGUGAGUGAAGAAGGUUUUCGGAUUGUAAAGCUCUGUUGUUAGAGAAGCGGUAUCUAAACAGAAAGCCACGGCUAACUACGUGCCAGCAGCCGCGGUAAUUC